GGUAGAAUGGCCGAAGGUUUAGGUGGCGGAUUGUAGCUCCGUGUAUAAAGGUUUAACUCCUUUUUCUAUCA
rnacentral:tRNA from 1 species